GGGCCCGCACAAGCGGUGGAGCAUGUGGUUUAAUUCGAUGAUACGCGAGGAACCUUACCAGGGCUUAAAUGUUAGGUGACAGAUCUAGAAAUAGAUUUUUCUUCGGACACUUAACAAGGUGCUGCAUGGUUGUCGUCAGCUCGUGCCGUGAGGUGUCAGGUUAAGUCCUAUAACGAGCGCAACCCCUGUUGUUAGUUGCCAGCGAGUAAUGUCGGGAACUCUAGCAAGACUGCCAGUGCAAACUGUGAGGAAGGUGGGGAUGACGUCAAAUCAUCACGGCCCUUACGUCCUGGGCUACACACGUGCUACAAUGGUAGGUACAGAGAGCAGCCAAUGCGCGAGCAUGAGCAAAUCCUAGAAAGUUUCUCGUAGUCCGGAUUGAGGUCUGCAACUCGACCUCAUG
rnacentral:rRNA from 1 species